UCCCUCUGAGGAUGGCACCUGGAAAAUUUCCAGUACUCUACCAGCCUCGGCUACAGGAGGGAGAGUCAAGCAAGCAGAGGCCUACCCUUUCCAUUCCCAGGUUGGGCAGUGGCUAGAGAGUGGAAGGCUAUCUGCUACAAGU